rnacentral:rRNA from 1 species
UACAGAGGUCUCAAGCGUUGUUCGGAUUCAUUGGGCGUAAAGGGUGCGUAGGCGGCGCGGUAAGUCGGGUGUGAAAUUUCGAGGCUUAACUUCGAAACUGCAUUCGAUACUGCCGUGCUAGAGGACUGGAGAGGAGACUGGAAUUUACGGUGUAGCGGUGAAAUGCGUAGAUAUCGUAAGGAAGACCAGUGGCGAAGGCAGGUCUCUGGACAGUUCCUGACGCUGAGGCACGAAGGCCAGGGGAGCAAACGGG